AGCCAUUCUACGAUGAAAACUCUAGGUAUUCCCAGUCAAUUUUAGCAAAUAUUUCAAGCACUAAACAGUGAAAAAUACAUCACAAAUUUCGUUAAAAUUUGUGACGCCAAUUUCGUAGCUACAAAUGUAAAAAAAUACAAAACAAAGACGAAAAACAUUUACCUUGAAUACUUUGUCGUGGCUUAGGCAUGCUUUUAAAACAAUUAGACCAGUUUAUGCUUCAAUAUCACCCUUUUAGUGUGGAAAAUAUAGC